CCCUUAGAUGUCCGGGGCUGCACGCGCGCUACACUGUAGAAAGUAGCGUGCUUUAAAACCUUUCCUGAAAAGGAUGGGUAACCCCAGCAAAAUUCUACGUGCUUGGGAUAGAGAUUUGCAAUUUUCUCUCUUGAACGAGGAAUUCCCAGUAAGUGCGAGUCAUCAGCUCGCGUUGAUUACGUCCCUGCCCUUUGUACACACCGCCCGUCGCUACUACCGAUUGGGAAAAUUUUAGAGAGUCCUGGACUGAUGAUUGUUCGGCUUCACGGCCUUACUUUCGUCGGGAAAGAAUUCGAUAAUAUUUUUCUAGAGGAAGUAAAAGUCGUAACA
rnacentral:rRNA from 1 species